GGGGUUGUGGCUCAGUGGUAGAGCUCUUGCCUGGCAUGUAUGAGACAUUGGGUUCGAUCCUCAGCACUA
rfam:Ictidomys tridecemlineatus contig042331, whole genome shotgun sequence.